rnacentral:rRNA from 1 species
UACGGAGGGUGCAAGCGUUAUCCGGAUUCACUGGGUUUAAAGGGUGCUGUAGGUGGGCAGGUAAGUCCGUGGUGAAAAUCUCUGAGCUUAACUCAGAAACUGCCGUGGAUACUAUUUGUCUUGAAUGUUGUGGAGGUGAGCGGAAUAUGUCAUGUAGCGGUGAAAUGCUUAGAUAUGACAUAGAACACCAAAUUGCGAAGGCAGCUCACUACACAAUUAUUGACGCUGGAGGCACGAAAGCGUGGGGAUCAAACAGG